rnacentral:siRNA from 1 species
UUCGCAGAUCUGUUGGCCGGCGGC